CUGCAGCAGGGAGAGUCCAUCCAGAGGGCAGCUGUGACACCAGCCCUGGGAGAGAUGGCUGAGGGGGCUGUGCUUAGCUGAGCCCCACGGUGGUUCAGCAGGGCUGGAGCUGAUCCCUGCUGCCCCAGGUGCUGUUCUGGGGCUGUUGCUGACCUUCCCCUUCGCAGGGAGUGCCCAUCCAGCCACAGUGCCAGGGCUCCCUCUCUGCUCCUGGCUGUGCAGCCAGGGCAGGGGCACUGCAGGGAUUCUCCUCUGGCUGCCCUGGCUGCUCACAGCAGCCUUUAACUGCAGUGUCUCUGCCAGCCCUAAGGGCUGCCUGAAAGCAAAGCCUUGGGACAGAGCAGGAGGCACGGAGUGCAGGAGCACACGGUGCCAGCGCUCAGUGUGCCAGUCGGGGAGGGCAGCUGCUGCCCCUGUUUGGGGAAAGAUGGUUCUAGAAACCUGGGCCACCUUCCCUCAGGCCUUCCUGCUGCACAGGUGCGCCAGUAGCUGAAGGAACAUUUUUCUCUCACAAGGAUGUUCUGCACUGGGCAGAAAUGAGUUACCUCUUUGGAGCGAUACCAGUCUGGGCAGUGCCAGGUCUUUAGUGUCAUGGCAAAGGGUCUUAGGAGCAAGGCUUGGUGCUGCUGAGCGUGUGCUUCUCCUGGACCAGGCUGCUCCAAUUUCAGUAACACAGUGGGUAGAGUUUGCAAGAAUUAAAACCAGCUUGUACAGAAAGUGAAAGGACCAAGCUUUCAUAAACCCACCAUCCCCAGCUUCUGCAGGAAAGGCUUUGAGGUUAGUGUGCUGCUCCUUGGACCAUGAAGUUGCUGGUACAUGCAAGCCUUGCUGGGAAAUGUUGAGGGUUUUAUUUGCUCUGGAUCCCCCCGUGGAGGAGGGGAGCCGGCUCCCUGCCCUGGGAGUGUGGGGCUGUGCCGGGGCUGCUCCAGCCCUUCUGCUUGGGUGUUGGGAGCAGCUCCAGGAGACCCAGGAGGAGCUGUGGGAAUGGUGCUUGCCUUCUUUUCCGAGGGGGCAGCCAGCCUGCGUGCAGGGACUCUGUAUCCAUCCUUUUUUCUGCCUGGUAACUCGAUCCCAGGUUAUGUCCUUAAUGUCCUUUUGUUUGUGCUUGUUAGCCCUCAGCAGCCUUGCUACUCUAACUCCUGUUAACCACUCCAGUUAACCACUCCUGUGGUUAACUCUGAAGUUGGGUUUGUGCAGCACAGCAGGCUGUGCAGGAGCUGGUUAUCCUGCACAUGACACCAGCACUAUCACAGAUCUGCCUGGCUGGUGCACACAGAGUGUUCCCCUCUCUGCAGACAGCCCAUGGGGUAUAUUUAGGGUCAUGACUAUAUUUAGUACAUGGUUCUGAAACAUCUGACAGCCAGCAGGUCUGGGCUGUGCAUGCUUUGGUGUUUGAGUCCCAGCAGUGAGCUGAACCUUCUCCUGUGUCGUCAGUGUUUGGGCUAUGCAACCAGCAAAGAAUUGGUUCUGCUUGAAUUUGUGCCAUCAAUCACUCUGCUGCUGAUUUUCAGCUUCUCUGUGACAAUAGGAACUCUGAAAGAGAAGGAGUAAAAUCCCUUUCCUUUGCCAAAAGUAGUACAACAAUGUGGAAGAAGUAAGUGGACCAAGUGUGCUGUGAGGGGCGUUCUGGCCUGAGGCUCCUGGGGUCAACAGCUGUCCCAGGGUAUCUCAGAAUGUGUCACUGUCAGCGUGAUGGAGGAGAAUUCUGACAGGGACCAGUCCCACCAGAAAGAGAACUCAGUUUCUCUACUGUAAAUCACGUUUGGCAUAAGUUUCAUCUUUUGUCAUCAUAGAUCUUCACACCUCCCUUCCUACACGCUCGUUCCCCUGCCUGCUGGUUCAGACCUUCCUCUUGUGGUUGUGUAUUGUUAUGUGGAAUGGGUGGCUGCAGUCACUCCCCAAACACCUGCUGAGCUCUGGAAAAUUUAUCACACAUCAGUCAGCAUCACAUGCCAGGACUAGACUACACUGAGACAAAAUCUUAAUUUUUAAUUUUUAUUUUUUAUUGGUUAGUUGAGGUUUCUUUCCCCAGGUGGAUAGCUGAAAAUAGCCUUGUUCAAAACAGACCUCCCACAGAAGUCUGUAUGAGUCUGGCAGACACAAGAGCUUGAAAAGUGCUUCAUGAGUUCAUUUUGACUUCACAAUUUGUAUCAGCAUUUGAAAAAAAAAAAUAACACUGCUUCUUCUUUACUGAAGAGCUUUCAGCUUUGUGCUUGACAAGUGCAUUUAUCUGAUCAUGUACAAGAAGACUUAUUUUCAGGUGAUUUUCUUCUGAUGUCAAGCCAUAAAGCAGCCUGUAGUGGGAUCCCAGAGGACCUUACCCAGCACUGGCUGCUCGCUGCAGCAAACAGUCAUUUCUUGCAAAUAAUUAAACCCCUGUGGAGCAUCAAUAGCUGGGUUGCUGAUAUUGCAUUUAGAUAAGAAGGAGGAACUGUAGGUGAUGCAGGAGAGUUACUUUGAAGUAUUUGUUCUCUCUCUAAAGCACUUUCUAACUGAAAGCAGAUGUCUAUCAAAUCUUCCUCUUGCCAAUUAAAUUUAGGUCUGGAAUUGCAGCUUCUGUGGAGUUUCAGGAGCUCACAAGCACAUCAGCCUGUUGCUCCAGUUGUGCUGUGGACCGGUGCAGACUCAGGCUGUGAUCAGACAGGUCCCACAGCACCCAGACCUGGCGUGUCCUGCCCACUCCUGGCUGCCCUGAGCUGCAGGUAAGGGCAAGGACUGGAAUCAAACCUUGCUUGGCAGGUGCAGCCUGUCCCUGUCCCUGCUCAGGGCCCAUGGCCAUACUUUGGGAUGGGUUUCCCUGGGCAUUUAUUCACCCUUGCCCCUCACAUUGGGAGUUUGGAGCUCACUGACUGCAUCUGCAGCCUCCUGCCAGGGUGUGCACCCUGCCUCCCCUAUCAAACUGCUCUUGUGGAGGAGCUGAACACUCACAGCUUCUGCUGCAGCUAAUGGGAGCUGCAGUAAAAGCUCAACAAUCAUGAAAAUCCAGCCUUCAACUGCACUCUUGGGAAUGGAGGUGGCUUAUCCUGUCAUGAGCCCUUAAAAGCCUUGGUAGUGCAGUGGGAGUGGUUUGUAACAGCAGGAAUUCAUUUGUUAAUAAAUCUCCCCUUGCUUGCCCUGACACUAAUUCAGGGGGCUUCAGCUGCAAGGUGGUUGGUGCUCACAGCAGAGAAAAGCAGCUCAGGGUUCCAGGGAUCUUGGUGGGGUCACAGUUCUGAGAAAAGUGUCCUGGCUCAGUUCAUGGUACAGAUGGGGUCACACAUAGCUUGCUCAGCCUCUGGUUCCCUUCUGGAGUACAAGCUGUACAUAAAGAAAAGCAACUGUGAUAAUUUUAGGAGAGCAAGUUUAAAAAAAAAUACAUGGGAAAGAGGAAUUGACUAUAAAAAACACUAACAGGAGAUAAUCAUGCAGUGGCAGGGAGAAAAAAGAUGUUUUAAUAGAUUUCUCUGAUUAUACUGACUCAAUAGAACCCUCUACUUUCUCUAAUGAGAAGAGGUGAACUCUCCUGACUUCAGCACUGACCUACCCAUGACAUCUUUUCUUGAGGCUUGAGCCAUGCUGGUGUUCCUGGAAGAGGUGGGAGGGUUCAGUUAUUUAUGGCUAAGUCUUUUGAAAGAAGUUAAAUGGUACUGCAUCAGAAUAACUCAUUGCAUCUCACCUGGUAUUUAUCCUGUCCUGAAAAUAAAAAGUUAA